AGAGUUUGAUCAUGGCUCAGAACGAACGCUGGCGGCGUGCCUAACACAUGCAAGUCGAACGGGAUUAAGGGGCUUGCUCCUUAAUCUAGUGGCGCACGGGUGAGUAACGCGUGGAUAACCUGCCCUGGUAUCUGGGAUAACAUCUCGAAAGGGGUGCUAAUACCGGAUAAGCCCACGAGCUCUUCGGAGCUUGCGGGAAA
rnacentral:rRNA from 1 species